rnacentral:lncRNA from 1 species
UUGAAUGGUUAUUAACUGUAAUAGUUUGAUCAUGAAAUAGUUAGUAUGAAUAUUAACAAUAAAAUGAUGGAUUAGAUUAAUUUAAAUUUGUAAGAAUACCUUUGAGUCUAUGAAAAGCAAUUCAAUUCCCAUGAAUAAGUUUGGCUUUUGAAAGUUGUGGGUUUCCCAACAAUGAAUCCACCUAACAAAAAGUUCGUUGUUAUAAAAAAUCUCCUUCAAAGUCAUUAAGGGUUUUU